AUAUUGCACAAUGGGCGCAAGCCUGAUGCAGCCAUGCCGCGUGUAUGAAGAAGGCCUUCGGGUUGUAAAGUACUUUCAGCGGGGAGGAAGGCGCUGUGGUUAAUAACCACGGCGAUUGACGUUACCCGCAGAAGAAGCACCGGCUAACUCCGUGCCAGCAGCCGCGGUAAUACGGAGGGUGCAAGCGUUAAUCGGAAUUACUGGGCGUAAAGCGCACGCAGGCGGUCUGUCAAGUCAGGUGUGAAAUCCCCGGGCUUGACCUGGGAACUGAAUUGGAAACUGGCAGGCUAGAGUCUGGUAGAGGGAGGUAGAAUUCCAGGUGUAGCGGUGAAAUGCGUAGAGAUCUGGAGGAAUACCGGUGGCGAAGGCGGCCCCCUGGACAAAGACUGACGCUCAGGUGCGAAAGCGUGGGGAGCAAAC
rnacentral:rRNA from 1 species